UACGGGGGGGGCAAGCGUUGUUCGGAAUUAUUGGGCGUAAAGAGCUCGUAGGCGGUCUGUUGCGUCGGCUGUGAAAACCCGGGGCUCAACUCCGGGCCUGCAGCCGAUACGGGCAGACUAGAGUUCGGCAGGGGAGACUGGAAUUCCUGGUGUAGCGGUGAAAUGCGCAGAUAUCAGGGGGAACACCGGUGGCGAAGGCGGGUCUCUGGGCCGAUACUGACGCUGAGGAGCGAAAGCGUGGGGAGCGAACAGG
rnacentral:rRNA from 1 species